UACGUAGGCAGCGAGCGUUGUUCGGAAUUACUGGGCGUAAAGAGUGUGUAGGCGGUGCUCUAAGUUCGGUGUGAAAUCUCCUGGCUCAACUGGGAGGGUGCGCCGGAAACUGGAGUGCUUGAGCGUGGGAGAGGAAAGCGGAAUUCCUGGUGUAGCGGUGAAAUGCGCAGAUAUCAGGAGGAACACCGGUGGCGAAGGCGGAUCUCUGGGCCGUAACUGACGCUGAGGAGCGAAAGCAUGGGGAGCGAACAGG
rnacentral:rRNA from 1 species